rnacentral:rRNA from 1 species
CUCCUACGGGAGGCAGCAGUGAGGAAUAUUGCGCAAUGGGGGCAACCCUGACGCAGCGACGCCGCGUGGAUGAUGAAGGCCCUUGGGUCGUAAAAUCCUGUCAGAUGGAAAGAAAUGCCACAGGGCUAAUAUCUUUGUGGUUUGACGGUACCAUCAAAGGAAGCACCGGCUAACUCCGUGCCAGCAGCCGCGGUAAUACGGAGGGKGCAAGCGUUGUUCGGAAUUACUGGGCGUAAAGCGCGCGUAGGCGGUUUGYUCAGUCAGAUGUGAAAKCCCUCGGCUUAACGGAAGAAGUKCAUUUGAAACUACCCGGCUGGAGUACGGGAGAGGARRGUGGAAUUCCCGGUGUAGAGGUGAAAUUCGUAGAUAUCGGGAGGAACACCAGUGGCGAAGGCGGCUYUCUGGUCCSAUMCUGACGCUGAKACGCGAAAGCGUGGGGAGCAAACAGGAUUAGAUACCCUGGUAGUCCACGCCSUAAACGAUGGACACUAGGUGUGGGRGGUAUUGACCCCUUCCGUGCCGAAGCUAACGCAUUAAGUGUCCCACCUGGGGAGUACGGCCGCAAGGCUAAAACUCAAAUGAAUUGACGG